AUAAAACAUUACUCAGGUCAAAGUAAAGCAAAAGUUGGAGUUCACUGAUCUUAGGGAUGAGCACGUGGCAGCCUAGAUGUUUGCUUCCCCAGCUUUGCUGUAAAUGGAAAGAAAGUGUAAUUUCCUUAUUUUUGUUUGAAAUUUUGAAGCUAUUAGCUUGAUUUCAGAGACACCCAGCCGCCAUAAUUUGUGCUGGAAUGUUUUUUUGUUUUUUUUUCAUGUGUGUGUAUGUGUGUUUGUGCGUGUAUUUUGAAUUAAUCUGUUUUCAGGCAUAACACGCGAGUCCUGUUAUACUAUCAACAGAUUACUGACACCGAAAAUGGUGUGAAAUUAGGAACAGUGAAAAUGUUUGAUCAUUGGAAACUGGGAAGAUUUUGGUGCUGGUCAAAGAACAAUUCCAGUCCUGGGGACGAAUGGUCUGGGAUAGGAGCGGCGAGCCGUACCAGACCGCAGGAACCUAUUCACCGCAACGACCCAAACAAUUUGUUGAGCGAUUUCGGUUGAGGAAAGAAUCGGUCAGUGACAUCAUUCUCAAGAUUACUGACCUCCUUCCACAUUCUACAGUCAAAAUAGUUGUCGCGUGCCACUGUAUUUACAAGUCCUACUGGUUCUGGCAACUAUGGCUAGUGAAAGUCACCAAGUAGAGGUAGCUGACUACUUUGAUGUGUCACAAACGCUAGUCAAUCAAUGCCUGGAACGUUGUCUCGCUCCCUGGUGAACCUCUGGGCCACACAGAUGUCAUCAAUCACUCUAUCCACCUGACGCCUUGGUCCAGACCAUCUUAUACCCCCAGCUACAUGGUGCGUCGUGUUUUGCUUGAUGAAGCUGUGCGAGGUAUGUUGCUUCAGGAUGUAGUGGAACCUGCCUGUUCACCUCAUAACGCUCCCUUGUUACUCAUUCCAAAGAAACAAGGUGAUUGACGUGUCGUUGUCGACUUAAGGAAACUAAACACAUUUACCAUUCCUGACCGUUAUCGAAUGCGUUAAGUGAUCAUCAUCAGUCUCUCGGAGAUUCAAAUGCGGCAUUUUCCACUCUAGAUUUACACGUAGGAUUCUUCCAAGUUGAAUUAGAGGAAACUUCACAGCAAUAUACUGCUUUCACUACUUCCUCUGGCCAAUUCAUGUUCAAAAGUAUGGCUCAAGGUCUACGUAACUCGCCUUUAACGUUUUAGAAAUUUAUAAAUUCUGUUCUCUCACGUCUCAUCGAUAAAAGUGUUCUGCUUCCUUGAGGAUAAUUUUCACACGCUGUCUCUCGUUCUGUCACACUUUCAGGCUGCUGGCUUAAAGAUCAAACUCAGCAAAUGCUCGUUUCUCAAAUAGCAAGUCAAAGUCCUUUGUCACAAAGUCGACAGAGAUGGUAUUUACAUUUUAGAUGACAAGGUAAAUGGUGUGAAAAAUUUUCCUGUUUCUAUUAAUAUCGAUCAGAUCAGGCAAUUCAUGGGUCUUGCCGGAUUUUAUCGUCAGUUCAUCAAAAAACUGCAGCCUUAUCACUCAACCUAUCACUCAUUUCCUCAAGAAAAAUGUUGCCUUCAUCUGGUCUGAAAAGGAACAAGAUGCCUUUGAUCUUCUCAAAACUGCCUUGUGUCAAGCACCAGUCUUUGCUUUUCCAAAUUUCGAGAAAGAUUUCAUCUCAUACACUGACGGCUUUGGAAUCGGUGUUGUUCUCAUGUAGAAAGAUUCACUGGUAAACAUCACGUAUGAGCAUAUGCUAGCAGAUUUAUCAACAAAAUUAUGAUGUCACAAAGCGUGAAAGUCUCGCCGUGAUCUGGACGUUACGUCAUUUCCGGGAACUCAUCUUAGACUAUAAGAUUCACUUCCACAAUGAUCAUUAUGCUGUCACAAAGGCAACAACUUCACAGGUCAAUUUGCUCGCUGGCAUCUCGCUAUUUUGUAAUUUAAUCAUACAUUUUCAUAUAUUCCUGGUGAGGCAAACUCAGUGGCAUACGCACUAUUAAGCAAUGUUGCCGCUAUCUCCGCCACCACAGACAAUCUUGCCAUGCCAACCACAGAUGAAAUACAUCAACAUUCAGACGGCUUCUGUCCUAGUGUUGCUUAUUACUUCGAAUCUGGCGAUGAGACAAAUCUCCCUAAGUUGCAAUUGAGUGCUGAUACGUUCUUCAUGUAAGAUGGUCUCUUAUAUAAUUUGAGUGAUGUCUCUACUGACGAUUCUAGUAAGCGUUUAUCUGAGCUCGUGACACCUCACUCGUUAGUGAAUACCAUAUUUCACCAUGUUCACGACUCACCCCACGCAGGACAUCCAGGUCAGGACAGAUGCCUUACACAAGCAAAACAAUCAUAUUUCUGGCCGACUAUGAGGAAAGAUAUCUUUCAGCACUGUGCGUUCUCAGUGUGCUUCACACCGUACCUCACUCGCUCACGACAAUCCAUCGCUUCCAUACCCUAUUGCUUCCGCUCCUUGGGAUUCAGUCUCUGUUGAUCUACUCAGACUUCCACUUACAGAGAACGGUUAUCAGUAUCUUCUAGUUUGUGUGGAUAGUUUCACUCGUUUCUUCAUUUUGUUGCUCUCAAGGACAAAGCUGCUACUUCCUUCGGUUGGUCACGUGAUCAUUGACAACAUAAUUUGUCCUUAUAACUCUCCUCAUGUCAUCUUAUCUGACAAUGGCGCUGAAUUCAAUAACAAUGUCUUUCAGGAUAUUUGUAAAGAAUUUCAUAUCAAGAAAUGUAACAUCGUUUCUCAUUCACCCAGUUCAAACGGCAAAGUAGAGCGUUGUAAUAGACGUUUCCUUGACCUUCUGCGUUACAUAAUAGAAGCAAAGCACUCACGGGACGAAUGGUUUCCUCAGAUAGCCUGCUCUAUCAACUCAGCAAACCACUUCAUCAUCAACGAGUCUCCACAUUUCGUGCUGUUUGGUACCGAGAAGCGUCUUCCAUAUGAAUUUCUCCACAGCGAGCCGCGUCCUGUCCACAACAUGGAUGAGUACGUCAAAUGUCGUCUCCGCGAUUUUCCGUUCACUCAUAAGCUCAUUCACGAAGCUGAGAUGCUGCGGAAAUAACAUCAUAGAGCGACAGAUUCUUCUAUUGAAGUCGGUGAUAUAGUCUUCGCUAGAGUUCACGAUCGUAACUUUAAAUUAAAUCCAUUGUUCUUUAGGCCACACCGUGUAAUCGAAUCUCUCCAUGGCCAGAAAGAAAAAAUCCUAGAUCUCAAAACCUUAGUACAAUAGAUUCUCUAUGUCGAUCAUUUGAAGUGUAUAAGCAAGGGAUUUGAUGAUGAGUGUGCACAUCAGGUGUCAUUAAAUUCUGUUUUAACAGAUCCUUCAAGCGACUCAAGCUUAACCACACACACACCUUCUUCUUACAGCCUGAAACUUCGUUCCCAUUCCAAGGUUUAUUCAUCCAAUUUCAGUAUCAUAUGUGUGUAUAUUUUUCUUUACUUAUAUAUGUUGUACAUAUAUUACAUCAUCAUGUCUGUAUAUAUUAAGAUUCUCGUUCCAUACUCUCUCUCUGAUGUCAUGUAUUAUCUGUUAAUUGUUCCCAUCUUACUGCCUUCUUUAUUGUUAUAUCCAAAUGUGAGGAAGCAUUUUUCGUGGGGGAAGGCAACUGUAUCAGUCUCAACAAUUAUUAUUAUUGUAUAUAUGUAUAUUCACCAUUUCAUAUAUCCAUCCUAAAUGCGUGUGUUCAUAUAUUUAUCCCACAUGCGCCCAUUGCCAGCCAGUCUAUUCUAUUUUUAAUGUUUCUCCUCUUUCUCUACCUCUCAAUGGAAUUUCACACCCACUUCCAGUCCUUAGGGAAAACACCUGUGUUCGCUUUGAGUCUUCCUUCCUAGUCAUUGGCUAAAAUAACGAGCUCUCCCAUUCUCCCUUUCACCUCAUUUCCCGGCAUCUCACUGGUUAUUCUUUCUCCCUAAACACCAAAACGUGAUCCACUUAGCUCAAAUAAAUAUAGUCCGCGUGGUAGCGAGCUCUCAGUCCAGUCCAGUUCAGUUCGGAGUCAGUCAUCCAGUCACGAGCAGUCAAUCUUGGUCUCUCACUCAGUUCCGCUCAGUCACAGUCAGUCUUGAGAGAUGCUGCUCGGUAUCAAGUGUGUACAUUCUACCUAUUAUUAAAUCAAGAGAAACUCCCAUCAUACGUGUCUUUUACUGGCACACAUCAACUAUACCAACAUACAACCUACGGUCCUCCAUGCUACAACACUACCAAGCCUGCUAUCGGUCCUCCACGCUACCAACACACCAAUCUCCUCAUCUGAUCCAAUAGUGACAAGCAACAUCACCAACUGGGCAAGUAUCAUCAUCUAAACUCAGAACAGUAAGAAGAACAGAGAUAAAAAAAUAUUUGAUACAAGUAGUGGGCAUCAAUCCUGUCCCUUCAUCAAAUAAUCUAGAACAAGUGGUCAUCUUAUCAAAAUAUUA